rnacentral:rRNA from 1 species
UACGUAGGGUGCUAACGUUGUUCGGAAUCACUGGGCAUAAAGAGCGCGUAGGCGGUCUGAUAAGUCAGGUGUGAAAUCCCCCGGCUCAACCGGGGAACUGCACCUGAUACUGUUGGGCUUGAGUGCAGGAGGGGAGAGCGGAAUUCCUGGUGGAGCGGUGAAAUGCGUAGAUAUCAGGAGGAACGCCGGCGGCGAAAGCGGCUCUCUGGCCUGUUACUGACGCUGAGGCGCGAAAGCUAGGGGAGCAAACGGG